rnacentral:tRNA from 1 species
GCGGGUAGCUCAGUUGGUUAGAGCAUCUGACUUACAUUCAGGAGGUCUGGGGUUCGAGUCCCUAUUC